rnacentral:rRNA from 1 species
CGAGGGGGCGAGCGUUGUUCGGAAUUAUUGGCGUAAAGGGCGCGUAGGCGGUGCGGUAAGUCACCUGUGAAAACUCCGGGCUCAACUCGGAGCCUGCAGGCGAAACUGCCGUGCUGGAGUGUGGGAGAGGUGCGUGGAAUUCCCGGUGUAGCGGUGAAAUGCGUAGACAUCGGGAGGAACACCUGUGGCGAAAGCGGCGCACUGGACCACAACUGACGCUGAGGCGCGAAAGCUAGGGGAGCAAACAGGAUUAGAUACCCUGGUAGUCCCAGCCCUAAACUAUGGAUGCUUGGUGUGUCGGGUACCCAAUCCCGUCGUGCCGCAGCUAACGCGUUAAGCAUCCCGCCUGGGGAGUACGGUCGCAAGGCUG